CAAUAAUGCAAGUCGAACGAACUUCCGUUAAUUGAUUAUGACGUGCUUGCACUGAAUGAGAUUUUAACACGAAGUGAGUGGCGGACGGGUGAGUAACACGUGGGUAACCUGCCCAGAAGCAGGGGAUAACACCUGGAAACAGAUGCUAAUACCGUAUAACAGAGAAAACCGCCUGGUUUUCUUUUAAAAGAUGGCUCUGCUAUCACUUCUGGAUGGACCCGCGGCGCAUUAGCUGGUUGGUGAGGUAACGGCUCACCAAGGCGAUGAUGCGUAGCCGACCUGAGAGGGUAAUCGGCCACAUUGGGACUGAGACACGGCCCAGACUCCUACGGGAGGCAGCAGUAGGGAAUCUUCCACAAUGGACGCAAGUCUGAUGGAGCAACGCCGCGUGAGUGAAGAAGGGUUUCGGCUCGUAAAGCUCUGUUGUUAAAGAAGAACGUGGGUGAGAGUAACUGUUCACCCAGUGACGGUAUUUAACCAGAAAGCCACGGCUAACUACGUGCCAGCAGCCGCGGUAAUACGUAGGUGGCAAGCGUUAUCCGGAUUUAUUGGGCGUAAAGCGAGCGCAGGCGGUCUUUUAAGUCUAAUGUGAAAGCCUUCGGCUCAACCGAAGAAGUGCAUUGGAAACUGGGAGACUUGAGUGCAGAAGAGGACAGUGGAACUCCAUGUGUAGCGGUGAAAUGCGUAGAUAUAUGGAAGAACACCAGUGGCGAAGGCGGGCUGUCUGGGUCUGUAACUGACGCUUGAGGCUCGA
rnacentral:rRNA from 1 species